GACGAACGCUGGCGGCGUGCCUAAUACAUGCAAGUCGAACGCAGUGGGGACGGGUGAGUAACACGUGGGUAACCUCCCAUCAGAGGGGAUAACACUUGGAAACAGGUGCUAAACCGAUACUGAUGGAUGAACCCGCGGUGCAUUAGCUCGUUGGUGAGGUAACGGCUCACCAAGGCGACGAUGCAUAGCCGACCUGUGAGGGUGAUCAGACACACUGGAACUGAGACACGGCCCAGACUCCUACGGGAGGCAGCAGUGGGGAAUCUUGAGCAAUGGACGCAAGUCUGACCGAGCAACGCCGCGUGUGUGAAGAAGGUUUUCGGGUCGUAAAACACUGUUGUUGGGGAGGCGGUAUCUAACCAAGAAGCCACGGCUAACUACGUGCCAGCAGCCGCGGUAAUUC
rnacentral:rRNA from 1 species